UUUUUUGUUGUUUUUG
rnacentral:sRNA from 1 species